rnacentral:lncRNA from 1 species
CAGCUCUUCUCUUACCCAGUGAACUCAUGAUACAGGAGAAAUUGUGGAGGGGGACCCCAACAACUUCCAACAGCUAUAGAGAAAGGACAUUGGUGUUUAUUGAAAAAGUAUAGAUGCCCUCAAAUAAGAAAAUAAAACCAGCCUCUGCCCUCUGCCCCUCCGCCUGCUGCCUGAGCCUGAGAGCCCUCAUCCAGUGGCUGAUAGAAGCAGAGGCAGACAUCCACAGAUAUACCCUGAACUGAACUCUGGAACGUAGGUGCAGAGAGGGAGAAAUGAAGAUCGAAGGGGUCGGUACUAGGUUGGAGAAACCCACAGAAACAGCUGGCCUGAACAGGGGGAACACAUCGACCCCAGAUGCUGUCUGGGAGGCCAGUACAGGACUGAUCCAG